AGCUUAUGCUCAAGAACAUCAGUUUGGGUCAAAGAGCUGAAGUUUUUUCCAACUCAGACUAUCAAGUAAUUCUGUGGCCAGUGCUAUCAGUUCCCUGUAUAUUCCUCCAGAGAUGUUUUGUGACAUGCCAACAGAAGGUAUGAGACUCUCUCCGUGAUCUCCCCAG